CUGGCCACACGUUUCUAUAUUCAUUUUGGUUUUUGAUUUUCCUGUACUUUACUUUCUUACUUCAUUUACCUAUUCCUCCACAACUUGAACAGCACAGAGAGAGAGAGAGAAAACUCAAUUCCUCAUUAUUGGAAUUGUUUUUUCUCUCUAUAUUUUUUCACCUCACAUUCACUUUAAGUUCUUACAUCUUUUUCAGGUUCAUUUGUUUACCGUCGACGGGGUCACCGUGGACGAUCUUUAUUGAUUUCUCCAAAAAAGGAGAAAAAAUAAAGAAAAAGUUGAAAGUGAAACUUGAAGUUUUUUUGUUUUGUUCUGUUCUAGCUAUCCUUUUGCUUUGGUUUUUUUCUCUGUUUGUAUUUUUCUUGAUUGGUUGGUCUUGUGUAAUGAAUAAGUCAGUGAAAAAAAUUGGGUGGCUGAGAUUUUUGUGA